GGUCAUUUAGAGGAAGUAAAAGUCGUAACAAGGUCUCCGUAGGUGAACCUGCGGAGGGAUCAUUACCGAGUUCAUGCCCACACGGGUAGAUCUCCCACCCUAUGUUAUCAUUACCUUUGUUGCUUUGGCGGGCCGCCAGGCUUCGGUCAGGCUACCGGCUCCGGCUGGUACGCGCCCGCCAGAGGACCCCAAACUCUGAAUGUUAGUGUCGUCUGAGUACUAUCUAAUAGUUAAAACUUUCAACAACGGAUCUCUUGGUUCUGGCAUCGAUGAAGAACGCAGCGAAAUGCGAUAAGUAAUGUGAAUUGCAGAAUUCAGUGAAUCAUCGAAUCUUUGAACGCACAUUGCGCCCCUUGGCAUUCCGAGGGGCAUGCCUGUUCGAGCGUCAUUACAACCCUCAAGCACUGCUUGGCAUUGGGCUCCGCUGCUAACCCAGCGGGCCUUAAAAUCAGUGGCGGCGCCCUCAGGCUCUGAGCGUAGUAAAUCUCCUCGCUAUAGAGUCCUGGUGGUGGUAGUCAUCAACCCCCAACUUUUCUAAGUUUGACCUCGGAUCAGGUAGGGAUACCCGCUGAACUUAAGCAUAUCAAUAAGCGGAGGA
rnacentral:rRNA from 1 species